rnacentral:misc_RNA from 1 species
UACGGGGGGUGCAAGCGUUAAUCGGAUUUACUGGGCGUAAAGAGCUCGUAGGCGGCUAUUUAAGUUGGAUGUGAAAGCCCCGGGCUUAACCUGGGAACUGCAUUCAAAACUGGGUAGCUAGAGUAAGGGAGAGGAGAGUGGAAUUUCCGGUGUAGCGGUGAAAUGCACAGAUAUCGGAAGGAACACCAGUGGCGAAGGCGACUCUCUGGCCUAUUACUGACGCUGAGGAGCGAAAGCGUGGGGAGCAAACAGG